GAACACAUCAAAUUUGUAAAAAUGACCCAUUAUAACGAACCAUCGUGAUCUGUCAAAAAAUGUGUCAAUUUGUCGGUUCAAUAUUACACAUGUUUUAAAACAGCCCGAGUACGCUUCAGGAAGUGUAGUUUUAGAUGUUAUAAAAACUUCAACCGCAUGUUUUCAUUUGGUAAAUUGAUGGUGACUCGUGAUCCAUCUGGAGCCGCAAAGGAUGUGGAAAGUCGCUUGGCAGAUCGAAGACGGUAAUUCUAGUUGGCACUUCGCCAUCGGUCGUAUUGAAAACAUGUCGAUUCCUCAAGAAAAUGAACCAGGGUCACAAAUCCUAUAGGCAUAUUCUGAACUCAGAGGGAAGUAUGGAAAAAGCAGCCAAAUUUUUCCGACAAUCAUUUUUUCCAAAAAAAGAUAUUAAUGUUUUGUGAAAUAAACUAGCAAAUUUAUUAUUUGAUUGUUUUCAGUUAAUUUUUAUAAAGUAUUCCUUGCAUUUGCGAUCUUUCUCACUACAAAAAUCGGCUCACAUCCCCACCGAGCGCAAGCGUUUGAAAUAAUGUGUAAAUUUGACCCGACGACUUGACGUACAGCCUAAGUACCUUAUAAAGGGUAAAGGGGCUUUACAUGAAAAAGGAGUUAAC